CUAGCUUGACUGCGAGCGUGACGGCGCGAGCAGGUGCGAAAGCAGGUCAUAGUGAUCCGGUGGUUCUGAAUGGAAGGGCCAUCGCUCAACGGAUAAAAGGUACUCCGGGGAUAACAGGCUGAUACCGCCCAAGAGUUCAUAUCGACGGCGGUGUUUGGCACCUCGAUGUCGGCUCAUCACAUCCUGGGGCUGAAGUAGGUCCCAAGGGUAUGGCUGUUCGCCAUUUAAAGUGGUACGCGAGCUGGGUUUAGAACGUCGUGAGACAGUUCGGUCCCUAUCUGCCGUGGGCGCUGGAGAAUUGAGGGGGGCUGCUCCUAGUACGAGAGGACCGGAGUGGACGCAUCACUGGUGUUCGGGUUGUCAUGCCAAUGGCACUGCCCGGUAGCUAAAUGCGGAAGAGAUAAGUGCUGAAAGCAUCUAAGCACGAAACUUGCCCCG
rnacentral:rRNA from 1 species